rnacentral:rRNA from 1 species
CGGAGGGUGCAAGCGUUAUCCGGAUUCACUGGGUUUAAAGGGUGCGUAGGUGGGUUGGUAAGUCAGUGGUGAAAUCCCCGAGCUUAACUUGGGAACUGCCAUUGAUACUAUCAGUCUUGAAUACCGUGGAGGUUAGCGGAAUAUGUCAUGUAGCGGUGAAAUGCUUAGAUAUGACAUAGAACACCAAUUGCGAAGGCAGCUGGCUACACGAAUAUUGACACUGAGGCACGAAAGCGUGGGGAUCAAACAGGAUUAGAUACCCUGGUAGUCCACGCCCUAAACUAUGGAUACUCGACAUCAGCGAUACACUGUUGGUGUCUGAGCGAAAGCAUUAAGUAUCCCACCUGGGAAGUACGAUCGCAAGAUUG